rnacentral:rRNA from 1 species
UACGUAGGUUGCAAGCGUUGUCCGGAUUUACUGGGUGUAAAGGGCGUGUAGGCGGAGAUGCAAGUUGGGAGUGAAAUGCAGGGGCUCAACCCCUGAACUGCUUUCAAAACUGUAUCCCUUGAGUAUCGGAGAGGCAAGCGGAAUUCCUAGUGUAGCGGUGAAAUGCGUAGAUAUUAGGAGGAACACCAGUGGCGAAGGCGGCUUGCUGGACGACAACUGACGCUGAGGCGCGAAAGCGUGGGGAGCAAACAGG